GACGAACGCUGGCGGCGUGCUUAACACAUGCAAGUCGAGCGGAGCGGCGAACGGGGGAGUAAAGCGUGAGUAACUGCCCCCCGCCCUGGGAUAACAGUUGGAAAAGGCUGCUAAUACCGGAUAGUGGGGGAUGACGCGCGUCCUAUCAGCUUGUUGGUGGGGUAGUGGCUUACCAAGGCGACGACGGGUAGCCGGCCUGAUGGGGCGACCGUCCACAUUGGGCUGGGAUACGGCCCAAACUCCUACUGGAGGCAGCCGUGGAGAAUAUUGCACAAUGGGGGAAGCCAUGAUGCAGCAACGCGCGUGCGGGAUGACGGCCUUCUGGUUGUAAACCGCUUUCGGCCAUGACGCGGUAGUGGGAGAAGAAGCGCCGGCUAACUACGUGCCAGCAGCCGCGGUAAUAC
rnacentral:rRNA from 1 species